GUGGCUGUGGCUCAGUGGUAGAGCGCUUGCCUUGCAUGCAUGGGGCACUGGGUUUGAUCCUCAGCACCACA
rnacentral:tRNA from 1 species